UAUUGGACAAUGGGGGAAACCCUGAUCCAGCAAUGCCGCGUGAAUGAUGAAGGCCUUAGGGUUGUAAAGUUCUUUCACCUGUGAAGAUAAUGACGGUAGCAGGAGAAGAAGCCCCGGCUAACUCCGUGCCAGCAGCCGCGGUAAGACGGAGGGGGCUAGCGUUGUUCGGAAUGACUGGGCGUAAAGGGCGCGUAGGCGGUUUUUUAAGUGAGGCGUGAAAGCCCUGGGCUUAACCCAGGAGGUGCGUUUCAUACUGGAAGACUUGAGUACGAGAGAGGAAAGCGGAAUUCCUAGUGUAGAGGUGAAAUUCGUAGAUAUUAGGAAGAACACCAGGGCGAAGGCGGCUUUCUGCUCGUAACUGACGCUGAGGCGCGAAA
rnacentral:rRNA from 1 species